GUAAGUGGUGUAGAUGAAACA
ensembl:ncRNA